rnacentral:lncRNA from 1 species
GGAUCACCACCGAGACCCUGGGACAGGGGCCUACCCACGUCACCGCUCAGUGAAUUUGCCUGGCUUUUUGGGAGUCGGAGACUGACUGAUGUGACCCAGGUGCGGGUAGUCAGUAGAAGCGGAAACAGCAGGUAUCCCAGGAGGCCCAAGCCGGAAGUGAGGGCGGCCAUGAAGCCAGAGACGCAGCCCAGCAGGAGAGGGCAGCUGACCAGGAAAUGAGACAGCGCCUCCACUGGUGAGGACGUGAACUGGACACGUGACGGCCCCUGGAUCCUGGAUGCGUUGGUGACGCCCCCAGCAGGUGACUUUGAACUAGUGGUUGUGGAUGGAAGGACCCUGAACUUUGUGGAGGCUGACACUGCAGAUUGCCAAACUCUGCCAACAGGGCAGGAUGCCAGACUACCUAAUCUCACCUCAGGGACUUGCCUGGGCUUGCCCAGUUCUUAGGCCUAGUCUCCUGAACUGCUGAUGUGAAGCCUUCUCAUUUGAACCAUAUUCUCCUCACUAUGUGCUGCUUAGUUUCUUGACACAAACUACGGUUGUCUGGGAAGAAGAAACUG